AGAUUGAACGCUGGCGGCAUGCCUUACACAUGCAAGUCGAACGGCAGCACGGGAGCAAUCCUGGUGGCGAGUGGCGAACGGGUGAGUAAUAUAUCGGAACGUGCCCAGUCGUGGGGGAUAACGCAGCGAAAGCUGUGCUAAUACCGCAUACGAUCUAUGGAUGAAAGCGGGGGAUCGCAGGACCUCGCGCGAUUGGAGCGGCCGAUAUCAGAUUAGCUAGUUGGUGGGGUAAAAGCCUACCAAGGCGACGAUCUGUAGCUGGUCUGAGAGGACGACCAGCCACACUGGAACUGAGACACGGUCCAGACUCCUACGGGAGGCAGCGAGUGGGGUAAUUUGGACAAGU
rnacentral:rRNA from 1 species